rnacentral:rRNA from 1 species
GACGAACGCUGGCGGCGUGCUUAACACAUGCAAGUCGAACGAAGUGGCGAACGGGUGAGUAACGCGUCAUUCACCUGCCCUUCCGAGGGGGACAACAGUUGGAAACGGGGUCUAAUACCGAACACCGGGGGCUGGGCUCGUGGCCUAUCAGCUUGUUGGUGGGGGGAUGGCCUACCAAGGCGGUGACGGGUAGCCGGCCUGAGAGGGUGACCGGCAACAUUGGGACUGAGAUACGGCCCAGACUACUACGGGAGGCAGCAGUGGAGGAGAUUGAACAAUGGGCGAAAGCCUGAUGCAGCGACGCCGGGAGGGAGAUGAAGGCUUUCGGGUUGUAAACCUCUUUCGCUAUCGAACGGGUAGGUGAAGAAGAAGCGCCGGCUAACUACGUGCCAGCAGCCGCGGUAAUUC